rnacentral:lncRNA from 1 species
GCUUGCUUCAAUUUGUUAUUGGGAUGAGCUGUCUAAAAUUUUAGUUUGGCUCAUAAUUGCAAUAUUUAACUAAUUUCACCUGUCUUCUAAUGACUAAUAAUGCCAUGCUUCUACCUUAACAAACCUAUUAUGAAAUUAGUUCGUUGAAGCCCAAUAUACAGGGCUAUCU